GCGAAAGCGAGUCUUAAUAGGGCGUCUAGUCGCUGGGAAUAGACCCGAAACCGGGCGAUCUAUCCAUGGGCAGGUUGAAGGUUGGGUAACACUAACUGGAGGACCGAACCGACUAAUGUUGAAAAAUUAGCGGAUGACUUGUGGCUGGGGGUGAAAGGCCAAUCAAACCGGGAGAUAGCUGGUUCUCCCCGAAAACUAUUUAGGUAGUGCCUCGGACGAACACCAUUGGGGGUAGAGCACUGUUAAGGCUAGGGGGUCAUCCCGACUUACCAACCCUUUGCAAACUCCGAAUACCAAUGAGUGCUAUCCGGGAGACACACGGCGGGUGCUAACGUCCGUCGUGAAGAGGGAAACAACCCAGACCGCCAGCUAAGGUCCCAAAAUAUUGCUAAGUGGGAAACGAUGUGGGAAGGCUUAGACAGCUAGGAGGUUGGCUUAGAAGCAGCCAUCCUUUAAAGAAAGCGUAACAGCUCACUCAUCAAGCGAUCCUGCGCCGAAAAUGUAACGGGGCUAAAGCCAUUUACCGAAAUUGUGGGCUUCUUUUAGAAGCGGUAGCGGAGCGUUCCGUAAGCCUGUGAAGGUGACCUGUGAGGGUUGCUGGAGGUAUCGGAAGUGAGAAUGUUGACAUGAGUAGCGACAAAGCGGGUGAGAGACCCGCUCGCCGAAAAUCCAAGGGUUCCUGCGUAAAGCUAAUCUGCGCAGGGUUAGCCGGCCCCUAAGGCGAGGCGGAAACGCGUAGCCGAUGGGAACCACGUUAAUAUUCGUGGGCCGAGGAGUGUGUGACGGAUUUCGAAAGUUGUCAUCCCUUAUUGGAUUGGGAUGGCGGCCUGGAAGUCCCAGGAAAUAGCCCUCCAUUAAGACCGUACCCUAAACCGACACAGGUGGAUAGGUAGAGAAUACCAAGGCGC
rnacentral:rRNA from 1 species